rnacentral:tRNA from 1 species
GGGCAUGUAGCUUAAUGGUAGAGCCAGCAACUUCUAAUUGCUUAAUGGGAGUUCAAGUCUCCUGAUGUCCA